UACGUAGGGUGCAAGCGUUGUCCGGAAUUAUUGGGCGUAAAGAGCUCGUAGGCGGCUUGUCGCGUCGGCUGUGAAAACCUGGGGCUCAACCCCGGGCCUGCAGCCGAUACGGGCAAGCUAGAAUUCGGUAGGGGAGACUGGAAUUCCAGGUGUAGCGGUGGAAAUGACGUAGAUAUCAGGAGGAACACCGGUGGCGAAGGCGGAUCUCUGGGCCUUACCUGACGCUCAGGCGCGAAAGCUAGGGGAGCGAACUGG
rnacentral:rRNA from 1 species